rnacentral:tRNA from 1 species
GGAGUAGUACUCAAGUGGCUGAAGAGGCGCCCCUGCUAAGGGUGUAGGUCGAGUUAUCUCGGCGCGAGGGUUCGAAUCUCUCCUACUCCGC